AGUGAACGCUGGCGGUAGGCCUAACACAUGCAAGUCGAACGACAGCACAGUAAGAGCUUGCUCUUACGGGUGGCGAGUGGCGGACGGGUGAGGAAUACAUCGGAAUCUACUUUUUCGUGGGGGAUAACGUAGGGAAACUUACGCUAAUACCGCAUACGACCUACGGGUGAAAGCAGGGGAUCUUCGGACCUUGCGCGAUUGAAUGAGCCGAUGUCGGAUUAGCUAGUUGGCGGGGUAAAGGCCCACCAAGGCGACGAUCCGUAGCUGGUCUGAGAGGAUGAUCAGCCACACUGGAACUGAGACACGGUCCAGACUCCUACGGGAGGCAGCAGUGGGGAAUAUUGGACAAUGGGCGCAAGCCUGAUCCAGCCAUACCGCGUGGGUGAAGAAGGCCUUCGGGUUGUAAAGCCCUUUUGUUGGGAAAGAAAAGCAGCAGGUUAAUACCCCGCUGUUCUGACGGUACCCAAAGAAUAAGCACCGGCGAACUUCGU
rnacentral:rRNA from 1 species